ACUGGAUUGAUUCAAAUUUCUCGCCAAAAACUACAUUUUACAAGAUUACAUUUGAACACAUCAUAACAUUAGAAUCUACCUUCGCCCAACACUCAUUUUACUGAACAGAGCCUGAACGUAUCAUAAUGUAAAUCAAUGGCACCUCCCGUGUUGAAAUCGGCAGGACGAGAGCUAGUUAACAUUAGCUGUUACUAGCCAGUAAGCAGCACAGUCC